rnacentral:rRNA from 1 species
CGCGUAGGCGGCUAUUCAAGUCGCAAGUGAAAUACCAGGGCUCAACCCUGGGGGGUCUUGCGAAACUGAAUGGCUUGAGUGCAGUAGAGGUAAGCGGAAUUCCUGGUGUAGCGGUAAAAUGCGUAGAGAUCAGGAGGAACACCGGUGGCGAAGGCGGCUUACUGGGCUGCAACUGACGCUGAGGCGCGAAAGCGUGGGGAGCAAACAGGAUUAGAUACCCUGGUAGUCCACGCGGUAAACGAUGAUUACUAGGUGUGGGUAUCGCAGGAUAUCCGUGCCGGAGCUAACGCAAUAAGUAAUCCGCCUGGGGAGUACGGCCGCAAGGUUGAA